CCUACGGGGGGCAGCAGUGGGGAAUAUUGGGCAAUGGGCGCAAGCCUGACCCAGCAACGCCGCGUGAAGGAAGAAGGCUUUCGGGUUGUAAACUUCUUUUAAGAGGGAAGAGCAGAAGACGGUACCUCUUGAAUAAGCCACGGCUAACUACGUGCCAGCAGCCGCGGUAAUACGUAGGUGGCAAGCGUUGUCCGGAUUUACUGGGUGUAAAGGGCGUGUAGGCGGGCUGACAAGUCAGAUGUGAAAUUCCGGGGCUCAACCCCGGACUUGCAUUUGAACCUGGUAGUCUUGAGUAUCGGAGAGGCAGGCGGAAUUCGUGGUGUAGCGGUGAAAUGCGUAGAUAUUAGGAAGAACACCAGUGGCGAAGGCGGCCUACUGGACGACAACUGACGGUGAGGCGCGAAAGCGUGGGGAGCAAACAGGAUUAGAUACCCCAGUAGUC
rnacentral:rRNA from 1 species